ACAUCGAGACCAUUGCAGAGCCAAAGCCAGGGUGAAGAUGCUUAUGUGACAGCAUUCACGAUGUUCCCUGAUAAGUUCUCUACUCUCCCAGAAAACUGGGCUCAGAGAGGAAAAAGUGUAACCAGAGUCUCAGGUGCCAUUUUGUUUCUAUUAUAUCCAGUUUCAAGCACCAUGGUCAUCAUGUGCAUACAUUUUGUUGAAAAUAAUGGAAAAUACAGAAAUAUGUGUGCAGCAUUCUCAAAAGAAGCCAGUCUCAGUAAAGAAUUAUGGGACAUCUAUGUGAAAAUGUCUGCUGCAUAUGGAAUCCCAAGAGAAAAUAUACAAGAUAUCCUCAAA